AGUGAACGCUGGCGGUAGGCCUAACACAUGCAAGUCGAACGGCAGCACAGUAAGAGCUUGCUCUUACGGGUGGCGGGUGGCGGACGGGUGAGGAAUACAUCGGAAUCUACUUUUUCGUGGGGGAUAACGUAGGGAAACUUGCGCUAAUACCGCAUACGACCUACGGGUGAAAGCAGGGGAUCUUCGGACCUUGCGCGAUUGAAUGAGCCGAUGUCGGAUUAGCUAGUUGGCGGGGUAAAGGCCCACCAAGGCGACGAUCCGUAGCUGGUCUGAGAGGAUGAUCAGCCACACUGGAACUGAGACACGGUCCAGACUCCUACGGGAGGCAGCAGUGGGGAAUAUUGGACAAUGGGCGCAAGCCUGAUCCAGCCAUACCGCGUGGGUGAAGAAGGCCUUCGGGUUGUAAAGCCCUUUUGUUGGGAAAGAAAAGCAGCAGGUUAAUACCCCGCUGUUCUGACGGUACCCAAAGAAUAAGCACCGGCUAACUUCGUG
rnacentral:rRNA from 1 species